CAAUAGCGUAUAUUAAAGUUGUUGCAGUUAAAAAGCUCGUAGUCGGAUUUUGGCAUCACGCCGAACUGUCUGCCGAUUGGUAAGUACGGUUUGGCGGGUGCUUCUUUCUUGAAGCUCGUUCCCUUCUUAGCUGAAGGGUUCGUUGGUUCAGGUUCUUUUACUUUGAGAAAAUUAGAGUGUUCAAAGCAGGCCUAUGCUCUGAAUAGGUUAGCAUGGAAUAAUAGAAUAGGACUUUGGUUCUAUUUUGUUGGUUUCUAGGACCGAAGUAAUGAUUAAUAGGGACAGUUGGGGGCAUUCAUAUUCCAUUGUCAGAGGUGAAAUUCUUGGAUUAACGGAAGAUGAACUUCUGCGAAAGCAUCUGCCAAGGAUGUUUUCAUUGA
rnacentral:rRNA from 1 species